UUAAAGAGACAGCACGCAGGCACUGCGGGAACGGGAAACCACUUGGGGGAGGAUAGCUGUUGCGUUUCUCAGCCGGAAAAACGCCUUGAUCGCUGACCCGAGAGCUGAGGACUUCGGCCCCUCGCUGGCCAGCUGUCAGCAGUUGUCAAUGGACCCGCUCGCUCCGGCCAGCGCUCCUCUCCGGGGCCGGACUGCAGCCUGACGGUCCGGGGAGGAGCCGCGGCAGACCGGCCCCCUAGCGCGCCACCGCCUCGGGCGUACGGCAGUCGCUGACCGGCCGGGUGACCUUUGGUCACCUGGGUGAGGAAGGAAGGGUAGGAGACACCCCUCCCAGGAACGACGCGUUCUGACCAGCUUGCUACGCCGCCAGGACGUCCACCAUCAAAGCGCUCGGGCGUCGUUUACCUCCACCCAGAUUGCAGAGACUAAUUUGCACAACAGCAACCCUGCAGGGCAGCUAUUAUCAGUCGCCUUUUACAAGGGACGCACCUGAGACGUUAAACAGCUUGCCUAAAGCCACACAGCCAGGAAGUGUCAAAGUCAAGACGCAGGGUGAGUCAUCAGCCUCCGCCUACUAGAGCGUCAGUGUCAGGGGACAGAACCAUGCUUGUCACAUUCCCUGCAAUGUCCUAAGGCUGACUCACUGCCUGGUGCAAAUUGAAGGCAGCCUCUUCUGACACCAACCCCAAGGGCAGAGGCAGCAGCUUAUUCACUGCCGUAUCCCUUACGCACAGGAUUGAGUGUGGCAACAGCGAAUUUCAAUGAAUGGUUGUUUAAAACACAAAGAUCUGACACCCGGGUUCUGUUCAUUGCCUGGCACCAAGCUCAAGGGUGGUGGUCAUUCUCUUGAGGACACAGCUGACAGUAGGAGAGGCUGUUACAGAACCUGGCUUCCUGACAGCAGUGGGGAUCCCAAAAUAAUAGAGACAAGAUGGUAGUGCUCAGCUGUCAGAGACAGAGGGGCCCAGCCAUCAUAGAACCAUCUAGGCCAAAGUACCAGCCAUGAAGCCUGACUGAUCACUGAGACAGACAGACUCUGUAGUCAGUAGAAUAACACUUGGUUUGUAUGAUGACAGUUUUCAGAGAGGUGAAGGUUAAGUGACAGUCCUGAAUCUUACCCCCACCAUCUCACCUCGGCCAAGAAGUGAGUAAAAGGCAGUAUCACAAACCAGGGGAAAUGGCAGAGAUUAGUGUUUCUGUUGAAGACCUAGAGCCUCUGAGUGGGGCAGGGGGUGUGGGGCUGGACCCCAUCAUAUUCCUAUUUAAUUCAUCCAUCCGUCUGACUUUAAAACAAUACAGGGUAUGGGAGAGGUCUGCUACCGACUCAACCAACUAACAGCGCAAACAGCUGUGGUGCAAGUCAUGCCAGCACAGAUCAACACAGCCUCAGGUCCAGUGUGUGGCCUUCCUUCCAUCUGGCCAUCCCCAUCAGGAACCAUUGACUUUCACAGGGAAGGACAGCAGUUCACAUUUAUGGUCUUGCCCCAGGCCCGUGGUCACCCUCCCACCCUUUGUCAUAUUAAAUCUGAAGGGCCCUGGCCAUCUGGACAUCUGCAGAGCAAUGCACUGCUUUACUGCACCGGAGACAUCCCUGCUAACCUGGCUGGACGGACAAGAGGAAACAAGUAAAUGAAGACCUUGAUGAGACAUUUGUGCUCUAGCGGGUGGGAGAUAAACCCUGUGAAAAUCUGGGGGCUUGCAUUCAGUGAAAUUGGUAGGGUCUAGUGGUCUAGGAAUGCCAGGACAACCCUCCACAGUCCGGGACAAAUGUGGCACACCCCAUCACAGGAAAGGAAGCACAAUGCUGGGACUCACUCUUUGGGUUCUGGAGGUGGCAUAUUCCACACCUAGGAAUGCUGCUCUGACCCAUACAUCCCUGGGAGACAUUAAAGGCUUCCAGCUUUGAAUGGGGCUCACAGCAGGAAAGGCCUGUCCCAUGGGCCACAGGACAAUAGACCCUGUGGUAUUAGAGGCAUAUGUGGUAAAAAAGAUGCUGUUUAAGGUUUCUGGCAAGCCCAAGUGCUGAAACCAUGAUGUAGAUCCCUAGGGUUCUAGAAGAAGGCCAGGGCAACGACACCAGAAAACCACAUACAAAUUCAAAAGGCACCUCCCCCAAGCUACAGGACCCUGGUAGAGAUGACUAGGGUACAUCAAGUGACCACGAAGCCAGAGCAGGCCCUAAUGAAUUGGGUUCUAUCAGACCCACUAAGCUGCAAAUUCAGGUGGGCCCAGCAGCCAUCUGUUGUAAGACUAAGCGAUCAAUUGUGGACCCAUGUUAUAUACCACUGUCACAUCAGCACCUCUCCCUCAUUCACACCUACAGUCGACUGGAGGGCCCUCAUGACCAGCUGACAAAGAAGGGAAAAGGCUGUGCUUGACCAGAGAUGAACCAGCUAAUGAUCAGAUGCAAUGUCCAGAGCAGCAGCAGCUACAAGAAGACCUUGAGGACAACAGCCAUAGGCUGAAGACAUGGAACCAGGAGGUAGGAGGACACUUGUCCUUGAUGAUGUCCAGGGCCUGAUGCCUACUGAUGUGUGAAAAAUAAACCCCAAGGUGACGUGGCUCCAGAGAGUCCAACAUAGCUGUUGGCUGGGGUCUUCAGUUCCUCUCUCCAUGGGGCUGUUCACUGGGCCACCUGUGUCCUCAGGACAUGGCAGCUGGCUCCCCUCAGAGUGAGAAGGAGAGUGAAGCCACAAUCUCUUCAUAACUUCAUCUCUGCAGUGACAUCCAAUCAGUGUUGGCCACACAGACCAACUCUGGUACAGUGCGGGAAGAGAUGACACAAGCUGCCAGUACCAGCGGGCAGACCACUGCAGGCUGUAACAGAGGCUGCCCCACCCUGGUCCACCUUUGCAUUCCUCCUACCCUCCUCCCACCAGUAUGCCCAGAGGGCCUCUCCCCUCACAAAAGCCCUUCCUCAACCACAGGGCCAACUCCUCCAAAGAGCUGUCCACAUUCACCCUUCUCACCUCCCUGCAGUCAGCCCUCGAGCACAUUCCACUGUGGUGUCCAGUACCCCUCCGGCACAGACCAGCUCUCACAGGCGCCACCAAUGGCUCCUGGUCCUCCCAAACUUGGCCUCUUGGCAGCUUGUCAUCUUCUGACCCCAUCUGUCAUCUUGCCUAUCUAGUCGGCAGCCUCUGAGAUGGCCCACAAGAAUCAAUUCUCUCCCCAUGACAAUGGGCUGCACCUAGCCACUUGCUUCUAAAAAACAGAAUAUGGCACAAGUGACGGGAUGUCACUUGAGGGAUAUGGCUUCUGCCUUGUAUGGCUUCUCUCACCCUCUCACAAACCUGCUCUGUGCAAAGCCAGCUGCCAUGUAGUGAGAGGCCCUAUAGAGAGGCCCAUGUGGCAAGGAGUGGAGGAGGCCCCCACCUCUGCACCAGUGGGAAACCGAGUCCUUGUUCAACAGCCUAGGAGGCACUGAAUCCUGCCAUGGGAGAGAGCCUGGAAAAAGGAUCCCCCCAGGGCUAAGCCUUCAAAUGAGACUGCAGUCCCCACAAGCACUUUGUCUGCAGCACUGUGAGAGACCCUGAGGCAGAGGCACUCAGCAGAGCUGUGCCCAGAUCACAGACCCACGCUGGGAUAAUACACAGUCAUUGUUUUAAGCUGCUAGAUCAUGGGAUAAUUUGUUAUGCAGCAAGGGAUAACUAAUACAAUCCGCCCCACCGUCUCCUCUGGCUUCUCCUCAGCAGCUCCCAGAAGCCCAGCUCCUGCCCAGUGUCCUUUGUGCCUCUGAACUGUUAGGGUUUCUGGGGCCCCAGACCUGGCUUUCUUCUCUUCUCACUGCACUCACUCUUUGGAUUAUCUAGCUACACCCAUGGCAGUCUACAGCUGUGACCCAAACUCUUUCUCAAGCCCCAGACCUGUUAUUGAAUUCAGUAUCUGGUAUCUCCACUCAGAGCCCAAGUUCAACACAGCAGGAAAUACACUCAUCCCCUGUCCCCCAAAACUUACUUGUCUUCCUUUUGAGUUUCCCAUCCUCCACCCAGUCUCCUAAGCCAGAAUCCUGGUGUCAUCUAGAUGCGUCCCUUUUGUUGUCCUCAACCCCUAAGGCCAACAGACUCUAUCUCCUGAAUAUCUCUUAGAUAAUUCUAGUCCUCAUCCCCCUCCUGCCCCAACCCUGGGCCCCAUCAGAGCUCCUUCACUGCAGAGCAGCACCAAGAGGGCUGUGAUCCAGGCCUGCCCUGUUCACCAAGGGGCCCACCCUAACCCGAGCUGCCUGGAACUGGAGGAAGAGGCACAGCAACCACUUCCAACCUGGUUUGACCCACCUCCGUGCAGAAGCAAGCUGAAGGAUUCUCCUAAAUCCCACACUGCUCUCAUCUCACUCUGCUCGAAAUCCUCCUGUGGCUCCCCAUUGCCCUCAGGAUAAAGCUCCAGCUCCCAAGAAAGACUUGCAGCGUUUGUCACCUGGGCGCUCCAACCUUGUCUUGUCCCUAUCUGCGCAUCGCAAGUUGUUCAACCAGAGCUAAGAAAUUGCCUGCAGAUCCCUGCCGUGCGGGCCAAGCUCCCUACAUCUUCACAAAUAACAUUCAUUCUAUAUGGAAUAUCUUUGCAACUUUGCUCCAGGCGCUGAGGACAGCUACCAGAACAUGAGAUGCGGCCUCCUGCAAUCCUGGAGCUGUGUCGAUGCCUGAAGUAUUCAGCCUGAGAGCUCUUGGAGAAGCUGAAACGGAAAGUCCGCUCCUACGACAGUGAGAACACCUCCGAAAACAAGGCUCUGGCGUAGUCGCCUCACGUGUAAACUGGCCGUAGCGUGACCAGGGUCUGACAGCCAGCAGGUGGGGCUGGUCCAAACGGCCCCCACCCGCAGCUCCCGCUCCCUCACCUUUGCGAGUUAAGCAACUCAGAGCCCGGGGACAGCUCUCCGGCCGGCACCGGGAGGAGAGCUGGGGCUGUGGGCG